UUGGGGGAGAGGAGGAGAUCCCUAACCCUCAUCCAAGCUUCAAACCACCGUAUCUUCCUCGUUUGAGCUCCGAUCGCCGCACCGUUUGCGGCCACGCGUCCAGUGCGUCGAGCUCUACCUUUCUAUCUAAACAAUUUCACUGGUUCAAGUUAGCUUCCGGGACUUAUGGGCUCAAGCUAUUGAGCAUAUGGGUAUGGUGUAGAUUAAGUGGGUAUAUAUGCAUUGGAAUUGAAUUGGGAGUAUGUGGAGGCUUGUUGGUGAUCAAAGCUUGGUUUGGGGCUGUUUUAAUUGAGCUUGGAGGGGCUGUGUUUUGUGUUGUGAGGCUGCCUUGGGUGAAACUAA